rnacentral:misc_RNA from 1 species
UCUCCGUAGGUGAACCUGCGGAGGGAUCAUUACAAGAGCGAACGGGGGGAUCCGUCCCCCUGAACCUCCAACCCCAUGUUUUCCGACUCUGUUGCCUCGGGGGCGACCCGGCCCUUCUGGGCGUCGGGGCCCCCGGCGGACCACUUCAACUCUGCAUCUUUGCGUCUGAGUCUUAUAUAUGAAUUAAAUCAAAACUUUCAACAACGGAUCUCUUGGUUCUGGCAUCGAUGAAGAACGCAGC